UCCUACGGGGCGCAGCAGUAGGGAAUCUUCCACAAUGGGCGAAAGCCUGAUGGAGCAACGCCGCGUGGGUGAAGAAGGUCUUCGGAUCGUAAAACCCUGUUGUUAGAGAAGAAAGUGCGUGAGAGUAACUGUUCACGUUUCGACGGUAUCUAACCAGAAAGCCACGGCUAACUACGUGCCAGCAGCCGCGGUAAUACGUAGGUGGCAAGCGUUAUCCGGAUUUAUUGGGCGUAAAGGGAACGCAGGCGGUAUUUUAAGUAUGAUGUGAAAGCCUUCGGCUUAAACGGAGUAGUGCAUUGGAAACU
rnacentral:rRNA from 1 species